rnacentral:lncRNA from 1 species
UAACUUCUCUACAAAUUUGCUCUCUUUCUACACCAACCUCUUUUGCCCAGGGAACUCCACAAUCUUCAUUUCUCUCUCUACAUUGAAAUUGAGAGAGAGAGAGAGUUGUGACGAGAAAGAGAGAGCCAUCUCUGUAUUGAACAAGGGAUGGAGAGAGAGGAAGUGGGGGGACAGAGCCGCAGUUCAAGGGAAAGAGAGCUGUGAUGAGAGAGAAGGAGCUACAGUCUAGGAGAGACAAAUAGAUGUGAUGAGAGAGAGAGAAAGAGAGAUGGUGGACAAAAAUGAUGGAAACCACCACCGAGUUCUUGAUUCCUCUGUUUCAAAGUGGUUUCUCCUUCUGCUCCUGGAGAGAGAGAAUUAAAGAGAGACCAAAUGCUCCGAGAACCACACAAGGGAAUGAAGAAAGUCGAAGACGAGCCACGCCUCAACAACACAUUCAUCAUGGCCAUGGAGGAGAAGAGAAAUUUCCCACUAAUUACUUGCAGAGAAGAGAUGACUUAUGCGAGAGUUUUACUUCUUUGUUCUUCAAAG